GGCAAACUUUUUGCAGUGUGUAAUACUAAAAAUCAAUUCCGUCUUUUAGCCAGUUAUUAUUAUUAAUACCUUCAAUUGUAGCGAACUACUAAUUAUUGCUAGUACAAGUUUACCAAGGAUCCCAUUUUAACUGAAAGACUGAACCGCAGGAAUAUAUCGCGGCACGUUAAUGAAGGCGGAAGAAGAAAGAUAUCCAAGCUAUUCAGGAAGCGAAGCACUCAAGAAAGUUAAGUUUACAAUCAGAAGACAGCACGCACAUGGUGUUCCGAAGAAACUUUUUUU
rnacentral:misc_RNA from 1 species